AAACGUGCUUUCCCUAUUCACUAAUACACGCUAACUGGUUUGAAUUUCUGGAAUUCAAUAAGAAUCUUUGAACUGUUACAAUGGACCACAAUUUUCUUGAUCGUGAUUACAGUUCGUGCCGUUUAACCAAUUUAUCAUAAAAAAGUCAUGACAGCGAUUGUGGCUGCAACUGCAGGGGACGGUAAUAAAAAACAAACAUUGAAAUGUUGCACCUGGUCACAAUGUCAAGCACAUCAUCUGGAACAUUGCACUAGGGCUGCUUUCGUGAUAAUGGUGGAUGACAGAGAGGGCUAGAUGGUCUUGGAGUUGAGCAGUUCAAAAUUAAACCAGCCCUACCCCACACCCUGGGGCCUUUGAUGAAUUUGAAUUAGUGUAGGGAAGCCUUCUGUCACUUUUAGGACUAAUUAAGAUAUCAUGCCAUAGAAUUUCAUACACAUCAAGUUAUACUGGUAACUUCUAUUUUUCCUUUGUCUUUUCCUUGGAUGAAGAUGGUGAUGUUUUAGGGUGGUUUCUGAUCAUGAUGGUGGGGUUAAUUAGGAUCAACCCAGGAGAAACCAUAUCCACAUAUAAGGGUGGGAGUUGAGUGAUGAUAUCAUAGACUUAUAGCCACGAUGUUCAUCGUGCCAUGUGAAUGUACAGUGGUGGUGCUAUUUGUGAUUUGUAUUUUCUAAUAAUAAUGAGAUGAUGCCAAAUAUGUAUCAUAGUGACAAUGAAUCCUGAAUUUCAAUUUCUGGUAUUGGAUGCUUGAAUUCGAUUUUGCUACUCCUAUAUGUGCUACUGUAUCUCUUACAACCAUUUCUGAUAAUCAAGUCCUUUUCGACCUGCCUGGCCUUUAAUGGUUGUCCUUUUGGCACUUUUGUAUUGCAAUCAAAUCAGUUAUUUAUUGGUGCAUUCCUUUUC